CCCCACUGCUAUCGAGAUGGGACUAAGGUAUGCUAGUCGAACGACCAGAACUAUGUCUGGGAGUGGCACACUGCUCAGUAACACGUAGCUAACCUACCCUUAGGACGUGGAUACCCCCGAGAAAUUGGGGUUAAUCCGCGAUAGAUGUAAUGUCCUGGAAUGGUAUUACGUCUAAAGGUAUUUCAUACAUGUUUGAAAUAUGCCUAAGGAUGGGGCUGCGGCCGAUCAGGCUGUUGGUGAGGUAAUGGCUCACCAAACCUUUGACCGGUACGGGCCAUGAGAGUGGUAGCCCGGAGAUGGACACUGAGACAAGGGUCCAGGCCCUAAGGGGCGCAGCAACCGCGAAACCUCCACAAUGCACUCACGUGCGAUGGGGCUAUCUCGAGUGCCACCUGAUGAAGGUGGCUUUUCCUUGGUCUUCAAAGCCUUGGGAAUAAGAGGGGGGCAAGACUGGUGUCAGCCGCCGCGGUAACACCAGCCCCUCGAGUGGUGGGGAUGAUUAUUUGGCCUAAAGCGUCCGUAGCCGGCCGUGAAAGUCUUCCGUUAAAUCCAGCGUCUCAAGCGUUGGACCGCGGGAGAUACUACAUGGCUAGAGAGUGGGAGAGGUCAGCGGUAUUCUGGGGGUAGGGGCGAAAUCCUUUGAUCCCCGGAGGACCACCAGUGGCGAGGGCUGCUGACUAGAACACGUCUGACGGUCAGGGACGAAAGCUGGGGUAGCGAACCGGAUUAGAUACCCGGGUAGUCCCAGCCGUAAACGAUGCAUGCUAGGCGUUGGGUUGGCCACGAGCCACCCCAGUGCCGCAGGGAAGCCGUUAAGCAUGCCGCCUGGGGAGUACGAUCGCAAGAUUGAAACUUAAAGGAAUUGGCGGGGGAGC
rnacentral:rRNA from 1 species